GGGCCAAUCACUCUAUCGCAACCCCGGAGAAGCAAGCAGCUCAGUUUCACUCAAUCGCGAAGCCGGAGGAAUCAUCCCAUCAGAACUACUCGAUCACCACUCAACCACCAGGAAGCCUAUCUGCUCUUUCUGCACUCAACCAGACAAGCUGAGAACUAAGAAGAGAAGAGAAGCCGAAGAAACCACUCGAUCACCAAAUCAUGACAUCCACUCGAUCGCACUCGAUCACAGGGUCACUGGACCAUUCAAUCUCGACUUCACUACUCGAUCGCAAGACGGAGCCCUUGAAGUCCAGUUUGAUCAAUGACAUACUCGAUCACUGGGAAGCUCAUUUCAGCCCGUCAGAUGCCAAUGACACAUUCGGUCGCGGGAUCAUGACGUGAUGAUUCGCUAUAUAUUUAGUUUCCUUAUUUGUUUCAUUUCUCGCUUAUAUAAACUGCCUCUAGGGUUUUUCCGAGGGCAUCCGCUAUUAUCCGUUAUUAUCUCGCUUUUACAUUUUCGCAACUUUGAUAGCCGCAGUGUUUCUCCUGCAACUUUGUAUUUUCACUUUCAAGUAUUUGAUAUUCAGUUUUCGUUUAAGUCUUUCGUCAUUUCUGUUAUCAUGUUUUUAAUCGUUGCUUUGCUAUUGUCUUUGAUUAUGUCUGAGUAGUGAACUGUAUUUCUGAGGAUGGGAUAGAAUAGUUGUGGUUUACUUGGUCGUUUUAGGUGGUUGAGUUUUGAAUACUAGAAUCCCUUCUGGAUUAGUUGCGCUUAUUCCUUGUUUCAUUGGCUAAUGUGGAGUAUGAGUCCAGACGUCCAACGCUCAGGAGGCGUUUAAUGGGCGUUGGAUCCUAUUAAUUCUAGAGAUAUCUGACUCUACCCCAAGGGAUUGGCUGUAGAGAGGGUAUUGACUUUAACAUGUUGAUUCGAUAAUGCCUGCUUAGUUAGAGAUCGCUAAAGGGAUUUAGGUCAGUGUCUAGCUUUACUUGAGGAUUUCUAUCACGGGAGUGAAUUAAUCUGUUGUUGAACUUGUUGUCUAGGGAUAGCUUCUGUGAAGUUUUGUCAACCGCCUGAAUAGAUUAAGUAGACCAUACUAUUGGAUUACCCCAUCCUUAGGAAUCGUUUAUCCAUUUGAUUGCCUGUUAACAUUUCUGCUUUGUCAUUCACUUGCCUGCUAUUGCCAUUUCUGCUUUUAGUUUCAUUUCAUUUCUGUUAUUGCAUACUAGGACUGUUAGAACCAACCAACUUUCUACGUGGCUUGACUUAGAGCUUUCUGAUCAUAUCUCAUCUGUUUGCAUCACACUGGAUUGGAUUGACAUCCUAAAAUACUACAACGAUAGGAUAGUAUUUUAGGGAUUAAUUGAGUAAAAUCCUACUAUCAAUUUGGCGCCGUUGCCAGUUUGGUGUUUGUUUGCUAUAUUUGAGAUCAUUAGAAACGUUAAGAUCAAGUUCGUUUUUGUUACACACGUUACUAACAUUGUGCCUUUUCUGUCUUUGUGUUUUAGGUACCUUGCAACCUGCUUUAUAGACGCAUCUCUGAUUCGUCUGUUAUAGCCCGGCUGCUAUCUGUUGCAUGCAUACACGGUCAGAAAGAAAUCAGAACCUCCUAUUCAACGAUAACAUCGACCGUAUUGCUCGCCAACUAAGAGAACAGACAGAAACCGACACAAUGGCUGACGUUGUAGAUGAGCAAGAGCAACCUACCAACAUUGGUGCUGGUGACUUCCCUCACAACCACAACCAGCGUCAUGGAAUUGAUCCACCUCCAGUACAGAACAACAACUUUGAGAUCAAAAGCGGUCUCAUUGCUAUGGUUCAGGGGAACAAGUUUCAUGGCCUGCCAAUGGAGGAUCCGCUAGAUCAUCUUGACGAGUUUGAAAGGCUCUAUGGCCUUACUAAAAUCAAUGGAGUUAGUGAAGAUGGUUUCAAGCUUCGCUUGUUUCCAUUCUCACUUGGAGAUAAAGCCCAUCUGUGGGAAAAGACGCUACCCCAGAAUUCAAUCACAGCCUGGGAUGACUGCAAAAAGGCCUUCUUGGCAAAAUUCUUUUCCAACUCCAGAACUGCAAGACUCCGGAAUGAGAUAUCCGGAUUCACUCAGAAGCAAAAUGAAAGCU
rnacentral:sRNA from 1 species